rnacentral:lncRNA from 1 species
CGUCUGUCCCGCUCCAGGUUCAAGUUUUUGGUCAAGGUAGUUUUUGAUGAAGUUGAAGUCCAAUCGACUUCAAACUUUGUACACAUGUUCCCUAUGAUAUGAUCUUUGUCAUUUUUAUGCCAAAUAAGAGUUUUUACGCCAAUUUCACGGUCCACUGAACAUGGAAAAUGAUAGUGCGAGUGGGGCAUUCGUGUACUGAGGACACAUUCUUGUUUAUUCAUUUU